rnacentral:pre_miRNA from 11 species
UCUUUUCUUCUCCAGCUGCUCCUUGUCCUCAACAAUAUCCUGGUGCUGAGUGAGUGGCACUCAAAGACUCCAGCAUCAGUGAUUUUGUUGAAGAGGGUGAGCUCUGCCAUCUUCUGAUGAC